rnacentral:rRNA from 1 species
GACGAACGCUGGCGGCGGGCUUAACACAUGCAAGUCGAACGGAAAGGCCCUGCUUGUGUGGGGUUCUCGAGUGGCGAACGGGUGAGUAACACGUGAGUAACCUGCUCUAGACUUUGGGAUAACUUCAGGAAACUGGGCCUAAUACCGGAUAGGAGCUCCUGCUGCAUGGAGAGGGGUGGAAAGUUUCGGCGGUUGGGGUUGGACUCGCGGCUUAUCAGCUUGCUGGUGGGGUUGUGGCGUACCAAGGAUUUGACGGGUAGCCGGCCUGGGAGGGUGACAGGCCACAGUGGGACUCGGGUGCGGCCCAGGCUCAUACGGGGGGCAGCAGUGGGGAAUAUUGCAAGAUGGGCGGAAGCCUGAUGCAGCAACGUCGCGUGCGGGAUGACGGCCUUCGGGUUGUAAACGGCUUUCGCCUGUAACGAAGCGUGAGUGACGGUAAUGGGUAAAGAAGCACCGGCUAACUACGU